rnacentral:rRNA from 1 species
AGCAGCCGCGGUAAUUCCAGCUCCAAUAGCGUAUAUUAAAGUUGUUGCAGUUAAAAAGCUCGUAGUUGAACUUCGGAAUCCGUCCAUCGGUCGGGUUUCACUGUCUGUACUGGUGUGGUGAGUCCUUACUUCCUGAAUAACCAGCAUGCCAUUCACUUGGUGAGCUGGGGAAGCAGGACUAUUACCUUGAAAAAAUUAGAGUGUUCAAAGCAGGCCAGUGCCUAAAUACAUUAGCAUGGAAUAAUAAAAUAGAAUGGCAUGGUUCUAUUUUUCUGUUUUCUAGGAUCACCGUAAUGAUUAAUAGGGAUAGUUGGG